CUCUUAUCCAGAGUGGUCGAGGGACUGGCCCGAUGACACCCGGCAACCGGCAGCUAUGCUGCAGUGGUGCUAAUUCCAGCAGGAGAAAUCCUGGCAGAUAAGAG
rfam:Sporomusa sp. An4 isolate Sporomusa ovata strain An4 genome assembly, contig: SPAN4DRAFT_scaffold-13